CCCAGCUGUAGGCACCUGCCUAGGUUGCCUUGUACCUAAGUCAGUAUUAACACUGCAGGGAGAAAAGCAGCCAAUAUGGGGUUGGCAUUCUGGGCCUGGUUAAUGCCAAAUGU
ensembl:snoRNA SNORA74 Small nucleolar RNA SNORA74